rnacentral:misc_RNA from 1 species
GAUGAAGAACGCAGCGAAAUGCGAUAAGUAAUGUGAAUUGCAGAAUUCAGUGAAUCAUCGAGUUUUUGAACGCAUAUUGCGCCCUCUGGUAUUCCGGGGGGCAUGCCUGUUCGAGCGUCAUUAAAUAACCCUCAAGCAUAGCUUGGUGUUGGGCUUUUUUACGUCCUUGACUGGGAUGGGCCUAAAAAUUAGUGGCGAUGGCUUUUUUACUUUCAAGCGUAGUAAAUCUCGUCUUGCUAAAGAGGAAAAAGAUUUUUUUUCUGCCAAAAAUUUUAAAAUUUAAAGUUGACCUCGGAUCAGGUAGGAUUACCCGCUGAACUUAAGCAUAUCAAUAAGCGGAGGA